rnacentral:rRNA from 1 species
AGUGAACGCUGGCGGUAGGCCUAACACAUGCAAGUCGAACGGCAGCACAGUAAGAGCUUGCUCUUACGGGUGGCGAGUGGCGGACGGGUGAGGAAUACAUCGGAAUCUACUUUUUCGUGGGGGAUAACGUAGGGAAACUUACGCUAAUACCGCAUACGACCUACGGGUGAAAGCAGGGGAUCUUCGGACCUUGCGCGAUUGAAUUAGCCGAUGCCGGAUUAGCUAGUUGGCGGGGUAAAGGCCCACCAAGGCGACGAUCCGUAGCUGGUCUGAGAGGAUGAUCAGCCACACUGGAACUGAGACACGGUCCAGACUCCUACGGGAGGCAGCAGUAGGGAAUAUUGGACAAUGGGCGCAAGCCUGAUCCUGCAAUGCCGCGUGGGUGAAGAAGGCCUUCGGGUUGUAAAGCCCUUUUGUUGGGAAAGAAAAGCAGCAGAUUAAUACCCCGCUGUUCUGACGGUACCCAAAGAAUAAGCACCGGCUAACUUCGUG